GUCCAGACUCCUACGGGAGGCAGCAGUGGGGGAUAUUGCACAAUGGGGGGAACCCUGAUGCAGCGACGCCGCGUGGGUGAAGGAGCGUUUCGGCGCGUAAAGCCCUAUCGGCAGGGAAGAAGGAGGACGGUACCUGACUAAGAAGCCCCGGCUAACUACGUGCCAGCAGCCGCGGUAAUACGUAGGGGGCUAGCGUUAUCCGGAAUUACUGGGCGUAAAGGGAGCGUAGACGGCGGCGCAAGUCUGAAGUGAAAGCCCGUGGCUCAACCGCGGAACCGCUUUGGAAACUGCGAGGCUGGAGUGCUGGAGAGGUAAGCGGAAUUCCUGGUGUAGCGGUGAAAUGCGUAGAUAUCAGGAGGAACACCGGUGGCGAAGGCGGCUUACUGGACAGUGACUGACGUUGAGGCUCGAAAGCGUGGGGAGCGAACAGGAUUAGAUACCCGGGUA
rnacentral:rRNA from 1 species